rnacentral:lncRNA from 1 species
GGUGGCGCACGCCUUUAAUCUCAGCACUCGGGAGGCAGAGGAAGUCGGAUCUCUAUGGCCUUGGCUGGGGGAUCCAGAGUCCGAGCAGGGCUGAGAGCGCCACCUGGUGACCAAGUUUGUAAGUAAGAUGGUGGAGCUCAACAGUCAGCUUGGAGCCAAGGAACUCUUGCUGGUUAUGGGGCUACUGCCCAAUGCAGCCUGACGCAACUCCUAAUGACUGGAGGCUAUUACCCAAGGCUAGCCAAGUGCUCUAACAUUGACCUGCAGCCCCAGCCCACCCAGCUCUCUCUGCCUCCACAAAUUCAGACACAGGUCAAGCUCCAUGCCCCAGUUCUUAGCAAAACAACAACCUUCUUGGUCGCAGAUAUAUGCAAAUAGGCUUGUAUCUGUCUAGCUCCCAGCAGGACUCUUUUCUGAGAGCUACUUGGAGUUAUCCUGAUAAAAAGGACGCUUUACGGGGUUGUUAAUAUGUGUGGCUUAUUAUCUCCCAGAACCUGCUUGGCA